rnacentral:lncRNA from 1 species
CAGGAAAUGGAGUGUGAGCCUGCGGGAUGGCUCUGAGUUGGGGCUCCCCCUCCCGGCUAAGGAUAAACUUACGGGAUCCUCACGCCCUGCGAUGUUUGAGGCCCCCGGCAGUUGAGGUCUCUCCACCGGACUCGUCCCGCUGCCCCGGCACAGCAGCUCAGAGGAUGGCAGUCCGUGCCCUGCCCUCUUCGUCAGGACUUGGUGCAGAAGACAUGAGAGGACUUGGGAAAGGACAAGGGAGGGGAAAGGGAAGGGAGGGCUCGUAGGAGCCUUGGCUGUGAAAAGAAGAACACUCAGGAAAUGGAGGCUCCACAUGAGCCCACAGGAUGGCUGUGAGCUGGGGCUCUCCUGGGUAAGGGCAAACUUACAGGACGGGAGGAUCAGCGCCGGCGUCGAGGCGGCCAUUUCACGGGAGGUGGACGGAUCCUAGUGCCCCUGCGGUGACAUCUGGGGCACAUCCUCUUCCUCACUGGCCUGGCAGCAGUAGAGAGAUGGGCAGUGUGGCCCGAUGGAGGUGGAUCCACUUCCAUCAGGUCAUCUUCUACAGGUGGAUCCACCUCCAUGGGCUCUUCUUCGCUGCCAGGCGGGUCCACCUCCAUGGGCUCGAUGUCAUGAGCCUCUUCCAGCAGCCGCCUCUUCUUUAAAGGUGGCUGCUCCAUCCCCUCCUUGGAAAUCAGAAGAAAUAAAAUGUAUCUCUCACGGAGAGACUGUGUGGGGCAGCUUUCUCCGGCUGUGUCAGCUGAGGGACUGCCGUUGAGGGCAGUUGGGUGGCCAUGGCAACGAUUCUGAGUGCCACGUGCUGGCCCAAACAUGGCGGCUGGCAGUUGGGGCCUGCGGCCAUUUCUGGGAGGCAGUGGCAAGAAUGUAGCAAGAGGGUCAGUGGGGGCAGGGGGUUCUCAAGCACCCUGCAGCUGCCAGGGUGGAGCCGUCCUGGUGCGGACAGCAGCAGAGGAGGAGCAAAGCAUGCUGACACCCCACAGGCAGCCAAGGGAGAGGCAGUCAUUAAAACCAGUGGAGUUUCAGGGGUAGUAUCGACUGUCCUUUCCCAUCCCUCAGCUCUGGGCCUGGAGCGUGAGAAGGUGGCAUCUCUUCUGCCCUGAUGCCAAAGGAGAGGGAUGUGGAGGAGAGGGCCUGGCAUCCUCUGGGUGGCUGCACUGGGAUUGCUGGGGAGUGCAUUGGAGGGCCUGUGAGGUCCUUGGAGCCUGGUGCUGGGGUUUUGCACCUGGAGGAUGGGAAGGCCAAUUAGGGAUUGCUGUCCUCAUCCUGUUCUCUCCUUAGCCAUGGAAUGAGUGGUUGAAGGUGAAGCCAGGUCCCCCAGUGGCAGUGCACAAAGAACAGCUGGCUACCAGUCAUGCAUUCUGAGAUGUAGUUUGGACAGAUUCUAUCUCUGUAGUCUCUGGGAUAGUGCUCUUGAGAAGAGAGCUUAGGGGCAGGGGCACAGGUGUGUAGGUGGCUGGUCCCCAUCAGUUGACCUUAUAUGCCUCAGAUAGUGUGAAAGUGUUC